UCAACGAUUCGAUUUAUUAUAAAAAUACAAUUUAUAAUGAAACUAUAUCGCUACAUUUUAUCUUUCACUAUAGUAACAAUCUUUUGCUUUGUCGGGUUCAUGUAUCUAAUGAUUCAAGUAGACCCAGAUUUAAGAAAUAUACCGAAUAAGGCUGCUCGUAUGAUGGAAUAUUAUUCACGGGAAGAUGUUACAAAUGAAUUGCCUUCGCCAGAAAUAUAUAUUGAUAUGAAUACUCAUAGAAAUGUAUUCAACACUACUUGGAGAAAUAUUAUCUGGUAACAUAAGUGAAAAGAGACCACGGUCUGCCUAAUAAAUAAUUUAAAAGUA